GAGCAGCGCUUCCUCCCAGCGAGGGGGGUGGGGGCCGGCACGACUUGCCAGCAGGUCCCUGUCACCCCUCCACCGCCGGCACCCUGCACCUCCCUGGCCUUUCGGCCUCCACCCCACGUCCCACCGCCCGUCUCCCCCCACCCCCCCCCCCCCCCCCACCCCACCCCCACCCCGGGCGGUUUGCUCCCCCACUCACCCGUGUUCCCGGCCGCCCGAAGGGAGCACCUCCCUGCAAACGGACGGGGGAGGAGAGCGCGGGGGGGAGGCGGAGGGAGCGCCCCGGGUGCCCGCGGAGCGGACGGAGCCUCCCGUCCCAGGGCGGGAACCAAAGGGCAGCCAGCGGCUCCCCGGCGCGGCGCCCGGCGGGAGAGGCCCGUGCUGCAGCGCCCCCCGCCGGGACGGAGCUCGCGGGCCCCGGCGGCUGCGGGAGCCUCGGUCCCCAGGUGCCCGCGGCCGGCGCGCCCCUCCCGCCCCUCCCGCCGCUCCCGCCCCGCGCGGCCCGCCCCGCCCCGCCCCGCCCGGCCCGGCCCGGCGCCCCCCGGCGCGCGCCCUCGCACCCACCGUGCACAAGCCGCGGGCGGAGGCGGCGCCCCCGGGGCCGGGGCCCGGCUGCAGGCGCCGUGCCCACGCAGCGCCGCUGCCGCCCGGCCGCCGAGCUCCGCCCGGUGCCCAGGCCCGUCCCGGCCCGGGAGCCGCCGCGGCGCCAGCCCCGCCGCCGCUGCAGCGUCCGCCGCCGCCAGCGCCCCCCGUCGCGGCCGCCGAGCGUCCCUCCCGCAGGCUGUGGCGGGCGGCGGGACGGGUUGCAUCAGCCCCGGCUAUAUAGCGGCCCCUGGGCGGCGGGGAGGGGUCGGGAAUGCGGAACCCGCCGAGCUGCCAGCUCCAGACGUCAGAGGGGGACGGAGAGGAAGGGAAGGAGGGGACAGGGAGGAGGGGGUGUGGAUCCGGAGCUCACACCCGCUGACCUUCACCUCCCCCGCCGCCCCGGGCGCCCUCCGCCCGCCGCCCGCCGCCCCGCGCGCCGCCCCGGGCGCCCACCCCCGGGGAAGCGGGACGCGGCGGCGGUUAUGUAAGAGCAUCCCCGCGCGCAGGGCUCCCAGCGAGACGCGGCCGCCGGCGCCCGGGAGAGGCAGCGGAAGGCGCGGCGGGACGGGCCCCGCAGCAUCCCAGCCUCGCCGGGCCCUCGGCCGCCCCAGCGCUCGCCCCCCGCCCGAGGGCAUUCCGGCACGUUCCCCUCCUCGGACGUGGCAGGACCGAGGGCGAGUGAGGGGAGGACGUGGCGAGCCGGGGCGAAGGCCGGGUGGGCGGAGGGAUCACCCCCACCUUAGCCCACCUGGCGGCGCGGGCGCCCUUCAGCCCCGGGGCUGCCCGCAGCGGGCUGCCCUCCUCCGGGCCUGCGGCCGACCCCGCUGCGCUCCCUGGGACGCCGCAGGCUGA
rnacentral:lncRNA from 1 species